CGUGACCCUUCCUUCUACUCGACGCAUUUUCUCGCUUGAUGAGCUACCUCCUGAAUGUUCAUCUAAUUUUGUUCUGCGAUCUUGAUCUGAUUUUUGUCCCCAUAAAACUAAGCGCAAGUUCUUCUUCUAAGUCAUCUUUUAGGGGUAAAGUUGCUGAAGGUAUAGAUUUUGGUCGACACUAUGGAAGACUUGUUAUCAUGUUUGAGGUUCCUUUCCAAUAUACACAGAGCAGAAUUUUGCUUGCUAGGUUACUGUAUUUGCGUGAGACAUUCCAGAUAAAAGAGGGUGCUUUCUUACUUUGGAUGCUUUGAUUAAAUCUGGACUCUAUGACAUCCUUUGGAAAGCUUAAAAUUAGGUUCAAUAGUGAUAAUAAUGGGAAGUAAUCAAGGCUCCUAAGAAGUCAGAUAUGAAACAAUGCGAUUAUUACGUGAUGACAUUUAUGAGACAAAUUAUCGAAAAAGUUGCACCAAUUAAGGGGGAUGCACUGCGAUCGAUAGUAAUAUUAUCUUUAUUAUCUAAAAUAAUUAUAAGUUGUUUAGUUGUCAUUUUUUUCGAUUAAAUAUUUUGUAUUCUUUAAGAUUAUAUAAUUUAUGUGUGUUCACAGUUUAAAAAAGUAGAGUACUCUCAAGAAGAAAUUAAUGAAGUGUGCUUUG